CUGGAUUGUUUAAAAAAAAAAAAAAAAAAAAAAAAACAUCUCAGCUGAAUCACGCUGCUCCCCCUCUUUCAUUCCUUCCCUCGUUUCAUUUCAGUGAGACGGAGAGUAGCUCAUGCAGUACCCAGCAGCAAGCAGAAUGCAAGGAAUCUACAGUAUUCCCCUGUCUCACACAAGAAGCCCAGUUCACUGCUAAAGGACAAGUGAGGAGGGGAAGAGGCAGAGCCAGAGAGCAGUCAGGGGAGGAUUCACAGUGCUGUGGUUCAGAGGAGGAACGUACGGUCUUGUCCUGCUCUGCUCUGCUCUGCUCUUGUUGCCUCAGGUGUGUGUGCUCCUCCCUCCCCUCUGUGGUGCCUGCUGUCAGCUCCAUCCCUGGGUGGCUGAGGCCAUGGUGUUGGUGCUGCGAGCCUUGCUGCCCUGCCUCUGCACCCUGCUCUCCCUAGACCUGCUGCCUGGGGUGGAACCCGCUGUGCCCUUGGAGGACUUCUAUCCCUUUGGCCAGGACAAGGGGGACUCCCAGACCAUCGCUCAGGACGACGGAGGCUCGGGGCUCGUGGAGAUCUCUGUUGAGUUCCCCUUCUUUGGAGACAGGCACACAGGACUCUAUGUUAACAACAAUGGCCUUGUAUCUUUCCUGAGGGAGGUGUCUCAGUUCACACCUGUAGCUUUUCCAAUCGCUGGGGACAGGAGGGUUGUAGCGCCAUUCUGGGCUGAUGUGGACAACCGUCGGGCAGGUAGAGUCUUCUACAGAGAGAGCCAGGAGCCUUCCAUCCUGAGUAGGGCCUCAGGUGAUGUCAGGACGUACUUUUCAGAGUUUCCCAACUUCAACGCAACAUGGGUCCUCAUCUCGACAUGGCACCAAGUUACUUUCUUUGGAGGCAACUCCCUCACACCGGUAAAUACUUUCCAAGUGGUGCUCAUUACAGAUGGAGAGCUUUCCUUCACUAUAUUCCAGUACAAUAAUAUCACUUGGACCACAGGCAUGCAUGCCAGCAGUGGAGGAAACAUGGCUGGGUUGGGAGGUAUCGCAGCGCAGGCAGGCUUCAAUGCUGGUGACGGCAAGCGCUAUUUCAACAUCCCCGGAUCUCGCACAGCUGAUGUGGUGAACGUUGAGGGGACCACCAACGUGGGCUACCCGGGCAGAUGGGUCUUCCGUAUAGAUGAUGCACAUGUAGAAGUGGGUGGCUGCAAUAACUCUGCAUCCGUGUGCCCACACCUGCGACCGUGCCUGAACGGAGGCCAGUGCAUCGACGACUGUAUUACAGGCAAUCCCUCCUUCACUUGCUCCUGCUUGGCUGGCUUCACUGGUCGACGAUGCCAGAUCAAUGUUGAUGAAUGUGCCUCAUAUCCUUGCCAGAAUGGAGGAACUUGUAAAGACCAGAUUAACAGUUUCAUCUGUCAGUGUCCUCCAGGAUACACUGGGAUUCUGUGUGAAACAGACAUUGACGAGUGCAAAGACAGACCGUGCUUCAACAACGCGUUGUGUGUACAGGGCGCUGGCAGUUUCACCUGUGUGUGUGAACCAGGUUACACUGGUGUCCUGUGUGAGACAGACAUAAACGAAUGUGAGUCGCAGCCCUGUCUGAGUGGAGGAGAGUGCAUCGACCAAGUGGCCAACUUCACCUGUGUUUGUCCCGCGCCCUUCGCAGGAAUGCUCUGUGAGACAGAACUGGUUGCGCUUCAGGUAAAUUCAACUGAGGCAGAAAACCAAACAGCCCUGUGUGAGGAGGAAGAUUGCAAGAAACACCAGAUCUGUGAAUACACCAGCGAUGGUAUCCACAACUGUACCUGCGCUCCAGGCUUCUAUGGUGACAAGUGUGAAGAGGAAUGUCUUUGCCAGAAUGGGGGUGUCUGUUUGGACAUCAAUGGGACUUGUGAAUGCCCUUCAGGCUACACAGGACUCUACUGUCAGUUUGAAGUAACCCAGACACCGUGCAGCAACAGCAGGCCGUGUCCUGACGGAGGUCCUUGUUUGGAGUACGGGGGAACCUACCUGUGUACAUGUCAGACCAGUGGAGCAGAACUAGAUCAUAAGGACUUCUACCCCUAUGUACAGCCCCGAUCGGUCUGCGACUCCUCUCCGUGUCUGAAUGGGGGCUACUGCUACGAGCGGGACGGAGGCUACACCUGCGAAUGCAAAUACGGAUACUGGGGGAAGCACUGUGAGAAAGUUAGACUCAAUACCUGUGCUUCUGGUCCCUGUCGCAAUGGAGGCUCCUGUAAGGAGGAGGCCGGGAGCUACAGAUGUGUGUGUCCUUACAGAUUCACUGGAAAACACUGUGAAGUCGGAAAACCAGACCCCUGUGCCUCCAGUCCCUGUCGAAAUGGGGGAACGUGUUUUCACUACAUAGGAAAGUAUAAAUGUGAAUGCACUGAGGCCUUCAGCGGCAGACACUGUGAAAUAAGCAGGAGCUCAGUACAAACCUCUGCAGGGCUGAGCUGUGGGCAGCCCCCACAAGUGAAGCACGCUGAAGUCCAGUUCUCCUCAACAACACCAGGCUCCAUGGCUGUGUAUAUAUGCCACUCAGGCUUCACGUCUGUGCCCAGAGCCACCCAGAGCAUCUGUGGUAUUCAGGGAGACUGGAGCCAGCCACCCGUUUGUGAGGACAUCAAUGAGUGCCUGUCACAGCCUUGCCUCAGUCGUGGUACGUGUCAUAACCAGGUCGGAUCCUACCAGUGUGAGUGUAAUGAUGGCUUCGGUGGAAGCCGCUGUCAAACAGACAUGAAUGAGUGUCUGUCGGAACCCUGCAAGUACGGGGGCACGUGUGAGGACCGGCCUGGCUCCUACGUGUGCCACUGUCCACAGGGCUUCAGAGGGCAGAACUGUGAGAUAGAGCAGGACGCGUGUGAAUCCAACCCCUGUCUGAAUGGAGGUGUGUGUCGGGGUUACAGAAGGCAUUAUGUGUGCGUGUGCAAAGCUGGAUUUUUCGGGGACCAGUGCCAGAUGUUGGAAGACCCGUGUGUACUGCAACUUUGUGGAAAUCGUGGCGUCUGCAGGACUGACAGGAAGGGAAACUACAACUGUGUUUGCAAAACAGGUCACACAGGAAAGGACUGUGAGAAGGACCUGUUGCCACCCUCUGGUCUCCACGUGCUGCGUGUGGAGGAGAACGAGGUGGAGCUGCGCUGGGAUGAGCCGGAGCCCUCUCAGAGCCUGAUCAGCGGGUUCGCUGUCUCCUAUGCUCCCCUGGGCCAGAGCGAUCCCAAAACAGAUUACCUGGACAGGCAGCAGUCCUCCCAUGUUAUGCGAGGCCUGGUGCCUGGCAUGCUGUACAACAUCUCCACCUUCUCCAUCAAACACAGCACCAACAGAAAAGACUCCAGCCAGCCUGCCACCGCACUAAUACGCACCAGACCUCGGCGGGUGGAGCAGUUGCAGGUGGUCAAUGUGUCCUCGUCUCAGGUUUGGCUGAGUUGGAUGGUUCGGGCAGCUCGUCACGCAGCAGUCAGCAGGGUGCACGUGUCUUUAUUGCCUUCAGAUGGGAGUGAGGCUCGCACUGCAGUGCUCAACACGAGCACCACAGAGUACACCUUCAGUUCCCUGGUUCCUGGUCAGAUGUACACAGUGGAUGUGCUGACUCAGAGUGGAAUCCGACCAGAUGAGUUUCCCUCCACCAGCCACUCAGCUGGACCCCUGAAAUUCUGGACAAGGCCUCUCCCCCCACAGAACCUCUCUCUGUCACACUUGACCACUAACUCAGCACUGAUCACCUGGAGCCGCCACCCGAGAAGUGUCCCAGAUGGCUUUGUGGUCAACGUCACCCGAGGGUUGAAUACCAGGAGUCGCUUCCUGCCCAAUGGGAAGUUAGGAUCAUAUACCCUCCGUGAACUGACGCCCGGACAGCACUACUAUGUGGCUCUCACGUCCAUCAGAAACACAGGGCAGGAACAGAUCCACAGCAUACCUCAGCACUUAGCCUUCACUACCUUGCCAAUGGGGGCCAGAUCACCAAGAAGAGAGAGACCAACAGCGACUGGACAGGGGACUCAGGUGGGACGCACACCUCCCCCAUCUCAGCCUCAGGACCUGGGAGGCACAGCGGAAACAGAGAACUCAGAAGAACCGCGCAGAUACACAGAACUCAUUGACAGGAGGGGGAAGAUAACAGCCAAGUUCCCUCACUUACCCCGAAAAGCCAUUCGACAUCGUAAGAAACCUGACCCUCCGAUUAGAUUAGAGAAGAUGGAAGAAACAACAAACAAAAUCAGCCUCGCACUAGAGAUUCAAGAAGAAGGUUUAAGUACGAAGCCUGAGUUGCCUCAGGACUGCCGCAGUCUGCCCUGCCAGAACGGGGGUACAUGUGUGUACGGAGGUGACUCCUUCAUCUGCGACUGCGCAGUGGGGUUCAAAGGCAGCCAGUGUGAGCUGUCGUGCCAGCGAGUGCCACACCCAUGUACCCGUCUCUACUCUGAAACCAAGAGUGUGCCUGUCUGGGAGGACGGAGUGUGCCACUACCUGUACAAAAGAACAUAUAAAAUACAACAGGACGUCUGUUAUCGAGAGAUUUGUGAACCCGUGCUUCCCAAGAAAAGUCAGGGUGAGUUCAAAAAGCUGCCUGAACAGUGAUAAAGACAUUUUUAGCAAAUGAACCAAUGCAAUUCUUUUCACACACUGGUAUUAACUUUCUUAACAGUCAGAAGAACAAACAGGCAACAAUAAAGAGCACUUGGAUACUGAUGAAAGAACCGUCAUCACUGUCAUGUGAAAAACCUCCUUACUUCAAUUUUGGUGUUUAUAAUCUACUUGAAGUAACUGAUUAUGGUCAUUUUUGUGCUGAAAAACCCUGUCAGAACCCACUGUAACGUUUCAGACACAGAACGCCAUUCAUCUGAGAAUAAGGUCGCAUUUGUCAAAUCCUGAGAGCCCAGAGUUUGUAGCUCCGUGCUUCUCAAAGAGGCUUUAAUCAAUCAAUUGAAAAUCACCCACAUCAUUUAUCAUUUGUGAUGCUGUGACUGAGUUUUCAUACGAACACUUGUAUGCAAAUAUUAAUGGUAAGCAGUCCACUGCAGUGCAUCAGAGACCUUAUAUACCUCAUUUCCAUGUCCAUGCUGACACAUUAGGAGAGGUUUUUUUUUUAUUAUUGUGAUUCAGCUGCAGGUUUGUCCCUCAGGGAAAUAACUGUAGAGUGUCCCAGUCUUUCCUUUAUACCAGCCCCGUGAUCUUCUGAUAAGGACGAUGGGAAAUGUGUAUUUUUUCCACGCCCCAUAAAUUCAUCUCUUCCUCUGACAAUGGCGCGCAGUGUUUUCUGUGCAUAAAUGUCUUUUCUCUGUGUCUUAGCAGGCAUCACUGCUUGCUACUGUAAAUAGUGUUUAUAGGCCAU